GACGAACGCUGGCGGCGUGCCUAAUACAUGCAAGUAGAAGCUAGUUGCGAACGGGUGAGUAACGCGUAGGAACCUGCCUCAUAGCGGGGGAUAACUACGCGAAAGCGUAGCUAAUACCGCAUACCAAUGGAGCGGCCGAUAACGGAUUAGCUAGUGGGUGGGGUAACGGUUCACCAAGGCGACGAUCCUUAGCUGGUUUGAGAGGACGACCAGCGACACUGGGACUAAGACACGGCCCAGACUCCUACGGGAGGCAGCAGUGGGGAAUUUUGGACAAGGGGGGAAACCCUGAUCCAGCCAUCCAGCGUGUGCGAUGAAGGCCUUCGGGUUGUAAAGCACUUUUGGCAGGAAAGCGGUACCUGCAGAAUAAGCACCGGCUAACUACGUGCCAGCAGCCGCGGUAAUAC
rnacentral:rRNA from 1 species